rnacentral:rRNA from 1 species
GACAGAGGUGCCGAGCGUUAGGCGGAAUCACUGGGCUUAAAGCGUGUGUAGGCGGACUUCUAAGUACCUUGUGAAAUCCCACGGCUCAACCGUGGAACUGCUCGGUAUACUGGUCGUCUUGAGCCACCUAGGGGCGAGCGGAACAAGCGGUGGAGCGGUGAAAUGCGUAGAUAUCCAGCGGAACUCCGGUGGCGAAGGCGGCUCGCUGGGCCCUCUCUGACGCUGAGGCGCGAAAGCCAGGGGAGCGAACGGG